rnacentral:rRNA from 1 species
UGGGGAAUAUUGCACAAUGGCCGCAAGCCUGAUGCAGCCAUGCCGCGUGUAUGAAGAAGGCCUUCGGGUUGUAAAGUACUUUCAGCGGGGAGGAAGGGAGUAAAGUUAAUACCUUUGCUCAUUGACGUUACCCGCAGAAGAAGCACCGGCUAACUCCGUGCCAGCAGCCGCGGUAAUACGGAGGGUGCAAGCGUUAAUCGGAAUUACUGGGCGUAAAGCGCACGCAGGCGGUCUGUCAAGUCGGAUGUGAAAUCCCCGGGCUUAACCUGGGAUCUGCAUUCGAAACUGGCAGGCUAGAGUCUUGUAGAGGGGGGUAGAAUUCCAGGUGUAGCGGUGAAAUGCGUAGAGAUCUGGAGGAAUACCGGUGGCGAAGGCGGCCCCCUGGACAAAGACUGACGCUCAGGUGCGAAAGCGUGGGGAGCAAACAGG